rnacentral:rRNA from 1 species
CUAGUUGGCGGGGUAAAAGCCCACCAAGGCGAUGACGGGUAGCUGGUCUGAGAGGACGACCAGCCACACUGGAACUGAGACACGGUCCAGACACCUACGGGUGGCAGCAGUCGAGAAUUUUUCUCAAUGGGGGGAACCCUGAAGGAGCGACGCCGCGUGGAGGAUGAAGGUCUUCGGAUUGUAAACUCCAGUGUUUGGGAAUUAACACCAGGUUCAACUCACCUGGGACUGAUAGUACCAGAAGAGGAAGAGACGGCUAACUCUGUGCCAGCAGCCGCGGUAAUACAGAGGUCUCAAGCGUUGUUCGGAUUCAUUGGGCGUAAAGGGUGCGUAGGCGGUCGCGCAAGUCGGAUGUGAAAUCUUGGGGCUCAACCCUGAAACUGCAUUCGAUACUGCGUGGCUCGAGUACUGGAGAGGAGACUGGAAUUUACGGUGUAGCAGUGAAAUGCGUAGAUAUCGUAAGGAAGACCAGUGGCGAAGGCGAGUCUCUGGACAGUUACUGACGCUGAGGCACGAAGGCCAGGGGAGCAAACGGGAUU